GGUCUGAGGUGUAUUCCUGCUGUCACUCCCUGUUUCUUGAGUUUUCCCUCUGCAGGUGGGCGUGUCUGGAGGUUAACCAAGCUGCAGCAGAUCUGCUCAUCAGCCGGCCAGGUGUAUUUAAGCAGCUGAGAGACUUCUACACUUCGCUGGAUGAUUACUCUACCUGGAUAAAACCUCCACCUUCAUCUCUGACUGGCUGAACUCUGGAACUCCUAUCAUCUGGAUCUCCAACCUGCUUGUCUCAGCCGCUCCCUGGCCAGAACCACCUCCAGCUGCCCACCUAAGCUCCCUGGAUCUCCACAAACUCAGCUCCCUCCACGUCUCACCUUUUGGAUCUCAGUCCCAGGAAAACCCUCUCAGCUCAGACCGGACCACUCUUCCCUCGAGUUAGUUCCCUCCUCUCCAGACUAUUUCCCGCACCGACUCCCUGCUGGAAGAACUCAGCUUUGUUUAUGCUGCUUCCUUGGUUUCCCUUUUAAUAAAUUCUUAUUUAAACACUUUA